CCAGAGGAGCAGCUGCCUUUUCCACUGGACCUUCAGGGGAAAACUCCCCCCUUGUGCAGGACCCCUGCUCCAGCAGCAGCACAGCUGGCACUGCAGGAGGGCUGAGCCACCCUGGGAUGGGGCUGUGCCACCACCCUGACACACAGGGCUCAGCUCCUGCUCUGCCUCUGGCAGGCUUGAGGUCUUUCUCCUGAGUGUCUGACAAACCUUGAGGAUUGAGCCUGAAAUCCUAGAAGACAAAUGCUGCUCUGCACACCCAAGAUGAGUCUGGAAGCCGCCUGGACCCCUUCUUCAAUGUGGGAGAACUCCAUAACCCUGAAUUCCUCUGCUUUUGCCACUUGAAUUGAAACUGAAAUAAUUCCAAGGAGGCAUCCAAUGACCUACAAUCAAACUUGUUAUAAAGAAAUCAAAGGAAGAUGCUGUAACUCCCCUCUGAAGUUUUACAGAAUAUUUAACCCUGGGGUGGUGGUUGCAAGCACUGAGAAAGUGAUUCCCAAUUAAUAAUUUAUCCAAAGGCUUUAAUUUGGUUUUGUCCUUUUGCAAUAUCUAUAAUCAGAUUGGGAUUUUUCUCUCGUGCAUUUGUUCCUUAAAACAGUUUCACAAAUUAAUUUAGCAAUUUGCUGUGGCCCCAGUUAUCUGAUUAGCACAGGAGAGGUUGAAAUGUUUUGCCAGUGGGAGUUUGGGUAAAAGGUGGAAUUUGGAAAGGCGAGACCCGGGCAGGUGCAGCAGAACACAAAGGUGAAACACAGAGAUGGCACAAAGGCUUUUCUCUUCGAAUUAGAAUCAACCUCCAUAAAAGAUUUUAUAAAACCACCACGUUCUGUUAAUUCCUUGUUUUAAUAUUAGCCUCAGAGUUCAAUUUUGGUAGUUAAUAGAGUAGAAUAAAUAGAAUUUUUUUAUCAAUACCCAUUAAGAAAAGCAGACACUUGCUAGGAAGCAAAUUUGCUUUUUCAUUUUUCAUUAAUUCACCUGCUGUAUAUUUACAUUUUGUGUACAAAAUCCAGAAACCUCUUCAGCCUUCAGUACAAGGCAUUAUUAUAUUUUUUAAAAUACAUUUUUUCUCUGAUG